rnacentral:rRNA from 1 species
AGAAUCAACGCUGGCGGCGUGCCUAACACAUGCAAGUCGAACGAGAAGUGGAGCAAUCCAUGAGUAAAGUGGCGACCGGGUGAGUAACACGUGACUACCUACCCUUGAGUGGGGGAUAACCUCGGGAAAACCGAGGCUAAUACCGCAUAAUAUCGAAAGAUCAAAGGAGUAAUCCGCUUUUGGAGGGGUCGCGGCUGAUUAGCUAGUUGGUAGGGUAAUGGCCUACAAGGCGAAGAUCGGUA